GAAAUGCGAUAAGUAGUGUGAAUUGCAGAAUUCAGUGAAUCAUCGAAUCUUUGAACGCACAUUGCGCCCCUUGGUAUUCCAUGGGGCAUGCCUGUUCGAGCGUCAUCUACACCCUCAAGCUCUGCUUGGUGUUGGGCGUCUGUCCCGCCCCCGCGCGUGGACUCGCCCCAAAUCCAUUGGCAGCGUUCCUUGCCCCCUCUCGCGCAGCACAUUGCGCUUCUCGAGGGCGGCUCCGGGACGCGAUCCAGCAAGAUGACCACCGUCUUUGACCUCGGAUCAGGUAGAGAUACGCGCUGAAGUUAAGC
rnacentral:misc_RNA from 1 species